AACAAUUACUACACUAGGCUCCUAUUACUUACUCGCUUAACGUUUCCGAGCAUGCGCCGUAGGCCUAUAUUCUACGGAGCAGCAGUAUGCGAGAGUCAGCAGUGGGAAUCUAGCAUGAAUGAGAGCGGCGUGUGCAGGGAUAUGGCGCUAGAGAGUGUAGUCUCGUGGUGUUCUUCAAGUAUAAUCUCAGCGGAUAACGAUGACGGUAGUGCCGAAUAAGCAUCGGCUAACUCCGUGCCAGCAGCAGCGGUAAUAAUGAGGAGGCAAGAGUUAUCCUCAAUCUUUGGGCGUAAAGAGUCCUCAGGUGGCUUCUCAAGUAGUCCGUCAAAACCCGGGGUUCAUCCCUGGAGAGACAGCGGAAAAUGAGGAGGUAGAGUACGGCAGGGGAGGAGGGAAUUCCCGGUGUAGCGGUGAAAUGAGUAGAUAUCGGGAUGAACACCAGUGGCGAAAGCGGUCUGCUGGUAGGCAAUUGACACUGAUGGAGGAAAGAUAGGGGAGGGACUGGCAUUAGAUACCCCCGUAGUCCUACCCGUA
rnacentral:rRNA from 1 species